rnacentral:tRNA from 1 species
GGACGGUUAGCUCAGCUGGUAGAGCACUCGACUGAUAAUCGAGAGGCCGCAGGUUCAAGUCCUGCACCAUCCA